CCCGAGCGCCCCACCCGCGUCUGACCUCCCCGAGCCCCUCCCCGGGCCCCGCCCCUUCCCGGUACAGGACCCCCACCUUCGCUCCUGGGAGCCCCGCUGCACCCCAGGAGUUCCAUUCCAGCCUCCCCAGUGCGAGUGCGGCGGAGCGCUGACUUUCGGGGGCCCCCUCCCCCGUCUCACUGGGUCCCUCUGCGGCUCCCCCGCCCGCUGUCCCGGCUCAGACGUGGCUGCACCCCGGAGGGGGGCGCCGGCCGAGACCUGAGACGUGGCGCUCCAGCUCUGCCGGCCUCGGCUUCAGUGCUUGAAUUUCAGCCACAUUCCUAAGCUGCCGUCAGACCAGAGGAAGAGGCAGGGAGGCUUUCUGGAAAGAACAUCACGUGGAAGGAAUCAGGACAUGACCGUGGGCCAUGAGUGACCUUCAAAGGAAAGCCGGGUAUCUCUGGUCUUUAAGAUGUGAUGGCACCAUCCUACGGUGGGAGACCAUCUCCCCGGUUCACACCAGGACUCCAGAAGGGACACCCCAGAGUGUCCUACUGUGCAGCACAUCACUGGAUGCUAAAGAAGAGGUCUGCAUUAACUGACUGCCCAGCAGCUCCUUCCCCAGCUGAGCUCAUUGCCAUCUAAUCCAUUGCAAAUAUACAGGAGCGUGCCUUGGCCGUCUCUUUCAGAGUGGAGAAGCUUGACAUUUGGAUACGGUCGGUUGCAGAAGUUAAGAACUAAGUUUCACUUCUUUAUUUAACCUGAAAGUUCUCUUAAUUCCCUGCAUCAUUGUGCCAAUAAUUCUGCCUUCUGAGACUUUGCUGGAUGAAGAAGACAUCUGGAUUUGAUUUUAGAGAAAGAAAAAGCCAAGACAAUGAAAUAAGUGUGUUUGUAAAUGUAACUUUUAGGUCCGUUACGUGGUUUUGUCCUGUUUCUUCCCACUCCCACUCCCAAUUCCCCUUCCUGUUAAAACUUCAAGUCAAAUCACAAACCUAUCUGGCUGCUUUCAAAUGUAAAAUAAGACUUUACACCAAAAAUACAGACAUCUCUAAUGGUCUAAACUACAACUUUAAAACUUAAAUCGUUCCUACGGAUGCAAAUGCUUAAGAAAUCGGUCGUAAAAUAAUCUCUCUUUAAAAUAUAAACCCUAGCAUUUUAUAAUGACAACAAACCAUGUUUCUCAUUGGCAAAAGCACUGUUUCCAAGUCUCUCAUCUCACAGGAAUGAGAGCCUCACUGGUCUCCCCCCAGCACCUAGAGCAGGACGUGGCAAAGAGCUGGCCCUCCUUGAGUAUCUGCAUAAUGAAUAACUCUCCAUGGAAACCAGUACCACUAUGAUUGGUGACAACCUGCUGUAACUUACUCCAAAGACAGCAGGGGCAGGGGUGACAACAGGAGCUCAGGCCAUUUGCACCAGGCUCUCUCUGGGUCUUUGUUUAUGCCCCUUCCCCUCCGUCCUCCUCUGUCACUGGCCUCUCCGUGUGAAGUCUCUCCUUUUCUUUCCCUCCUCACUACGGCCUUUGUGCCUUUCCUUCUCCUUCCCUUUAGUUCCCACUUUCUUCCUUUAAGCUUUCUCUUCCCUUCCUCUCGUUUUCCAUUGUUAUUCUCCCCUUUCCACCUUCCCCUUUAUGUAGUAAAAACAUGGAUCUGACGUGUAUUUUAAAUUGGUAUUUUAAUAUCCUAUCAGCCUCCAUUCUUCAUUUUUCUCAUGGAGCAAGCAAAUUGUAUAGGUGUUUACCUGGCAACAACUAUUUUUUGCUUGUUUGUGGCAAAAAAAAAAAAAAAAAAAUUGCCACGAUGACAAGUGCCUCUUGCCAAGUCGGGUGUGCAGGUGCGGAGUCACACCCAGCCGCCCUCAAGGUCCACACAUUGCCCAUUCACCUGGCACUUUUCUCUCUAAGCCAAGCAUCCUGGUGCCUGCGAUGAGGGGAAUUAGUAACCCUAUUGCUACACUCCUAGCUUAUGAAGAACACAGAACACAGAGCUCAAGGGAAAAGAGAAUUCUUUUGGAGACAAAAGAUAAUUUUGUACUUUUAAUCUGGAUCCCUAAGGUCGUGCUCUACUCCCCCAUGACCAUCCCCCAUCUUUACUGAAGUAUAAUUGACUAAUACAAAUUGUAUAUAGUUACGGUGGACAAUGUGAUGUUUUGAUAUGUGAGUACAUUAUGAUAUGAUCACUAUAAUCAAGCUAAUCAGCAUAUCCAUCGCCUCACAUAGUUGCCUUUUUUUUUUUUUUUUUGCCUGUGUAUGGUGAAAACCUUUAGGAUCUACUCUGUUAGCAAUUUUCAAGCAUGCAAUGCAGUGUUGUGCCCUUAGUUAAAGGACUCAGCGGCUUUGUGAGGUCUGAAUCCUAUUGAUUAUCCAGUGCCUGCUUUUUCUUCCUUCCAGUUUUUCUGUUUAGUUAAUGUUGGUGCCACAUACAUUAAAUUGAGUAUGUGGACAGCAGAGUGCAGUUCCUGAAUAAAGAGAAUAUGAAAAUCUAUGACUUAUUUCUUAAGUUAACAGGAACAAGUGUGAGGCUUAUUUCUGAUUCUUUCGAUAGGACAAUCAAUACCUGUUUUUAUCAAGUAUCUGCCUCCUUAAUUAAGAGCAAUAGCUGACAAAAGUUAAUUAGCAAUGUCAACAUGACCCUAUCACGUUGCCCUGCUCUGACUUCAAAGAAAAUUUAGAUAAUGCUAAAGGAUUAGAAAAGAGUAGCAGAAAGUCCAGCAUGCCUACUUUAAAACACUUGAGUUUUCAAGUUCUCCAGAAAUAAGUUACAUAUAACUUUUUAUUAUAUAACAUAUUAUAUAAUCUGAGAAAAAAAAUUGCCACGAUGACAAGUGCCUCUUGCCAAGUCCGGUGUGCAGGUGCGGAGUCACACCCAGCCGCCCUCAAGGUCCACACAUUGCCCAUUCAUCUGGCGGUUUUCUCUCUAACCCAAGCACCCUGGUGCCUGUGGUGAAGGGAAUAAGUAACCCUGUUGCUACACUCCCAGCUUAUGAAGAACACAGAACACAGAGCUCAAGGGAAAAGAGAAUUCUUUUGGAGACAAAAGAUAAUUUUGUACUUUUAAUCUGGAUCCCUAAGGUCAUGCCCUACCCCCCCAUGACCAUCCCCCAACUUUACUGAAGUAUAAUUGACUAAUACAAAUUGUAUAUAGUUACGGUGGACAAUGUGACGUCUUUCUUUCUUCCUGCUAAUAUCAUACACAUUUGUACUGUUUGUUUUGAAAACUUGUAGAAAACUUGGAGGGGAAAGCAUUUCUAGCCUGUCCUGUUGGUCAGUGGAUUAAUUUGUCUCCAGUAAGUGUCUCUGUGGCUUACUGUCAUUCAGCUGAUACCUUCUUUGGCAUGAAGCUUUCCCUUCCUGGAUGCUCAGGACAUGUGAUUUGAGGAUAAGUUUACCUGGGCUUUUCAGGUUUGCUUCUGUUCAUUCCAAAGCUUUUGCUAGGAACAGGGAAGCUGACACAUCAGCAGGCGAGGACCCUUCAAUAGUGUGGAGGUUGAGAGAAGGUUGAACAGCUAGAGAACACAAAGGGAAGAAAAUAACAUACUUUGCCAUUUCUAUAACCUUAAUACAAUUUUAAUAAAAUUUUUCUUUGGAGGCUAUAAAUUCAUUUCUUUAAGAAGCUUUGUUGAGCAAAAAUAUUCUUACAAUUGCCAUUAAGUGCACCAUUUUGUUCAAAAUGAACCCAUUAAACAUUUUCUUUAUCAUAAUUAAGCCCAAUAUACCAAAUGCCAAAGAUUAGCUAUCAGCUUAGUACAAACC